AGGGAAUAUUGGUCAAUGGGCGAGAGCCUGAACCAGCCAUGCCGCGUGCAGGAAGACGGCCUUCUGGGUUGUAAACUGCUUUUAUAUGGGAAGAAAAAGGCCUUGCGAGGCAAACUGACGGUACCAUAUGAAU
rnacentral:rRNA from 1 species